rnacentral:rRNA from 1 species
UGGGGAAUAUUGCACAAUGGGCGCAAGCCUGAUGCAGCGACGCCGCGUGAGGGAUGACGGCCUUCGGGUUGUAAACCUCUUUCAGCUCCGACGAAGCGCAAGUGACGGUAGGAGCAGAAGAAGCACCGGCCAACUACGUGCCAGCAGCCGCGGUAAUACGUAGGGUGCAAGCGUUGUCCGGAAUUACUGGGCGUAAAGAGCUCGUAGGCGGUUUGUCGCGUCGUCUGUGAAAUUCUUCAGCUUAACUGCAGGCGUGCAGGCGAUACGGGCAGACUUGAGUACUACAGGGGAGACUGGAAUUCCUGGUGUAGCGGUGAAAUGCGCAGAUAUCAGGAGGAACACCGGUGGCGAAGGCGGGUCUCUGGGUAGUAACUGACGCUGGGGAGCGAAAGCGUGGGUAGCGAACAGG